UACGUAGGGUCCGAGCGUUGUCCGGAAUUAUUGGGCGUUAAAGGGCUCGUAGGCGGUCUGUUGCGUCGGGAGUGAAAACUUACAGCUUAACUGUGAGCGUGCUUCCGAUACGGGCAGACUUGAGGUAUUCAGGGGAGAACGGAAUUCCUGGUGUAGCGGUGAAAUGCGCAGAUAUCAGGAGGAACACCGGUGGCGAAGGCGGUUCUCUGGGAAUAUCCUGACGCUGAGGAGCGAAAGUGUGGGGAGCGAACAGG
rnacentral:rRNA from 1 species